ensembl:snRNA U6 U6 spliceosomal RNA
GUGCUUACUGCAGCAAAACAUAUAAUGAAAUUGGAACAAUGUAGAAAGGAUUAGCAUGCUCUCUGUGAAGAGGUGACAUGCAAGUUCAUGAGACAUUCAUAUUUUUU